ACUUAAAAGCUAGCUGUGUACAAUACUCAACAUAACAUAUCAAUAUAUAUUUAUAUACCAAUAAAUAAAACCAAACCAUUUUUCACAUCUUAGUAUAGGAGAUAGAAAAGGAAAAGUCAAGCUAUAAACUAAGUACCGUAAGGGAAUGCUGAAAAAGAGAUGAAAUAGCACAGUAAAGUAAAACAAAGCAGAGAUAUAAACUCGUACCUUUCGCAUCAUGAUUUAGUAAGAACUAUUUAAGCAAAAUGUUUUCUAGUUUACUGCCCCGAAACUAGGUGAGCUACUCCAGGACAGCCUGAUAAUAGGGCAAACACGUCCCUGUGGCAAAAGGGUGUGAAGAUCCUUGAGUAGAGGCGACAAACCUACCGAACCUAGUUAUAGCUGGUUGUCUGAGAAUUAAAUAAGAGUUUAGCCUUUUAUUUUCUGAAUUUAACAAUGACCCUGUCAUACAACAAUAAAAGAAUAUUAAAGAGUUAUUCAUAAGGGGCCCAGCCCUUAUGAAAAAGGAUACAACCUUGUUGGGUGAUUAAUGACAUAUAUUAAAGUUAAUGUCCUAGUGGGCUUAAAGGCAGCCACCUAGAAAAAAGCGUUAAAGCUCAUACAUUGCCCCCACUUUUAAUAAAAAAAGUUAUAUCAUAACCCCCAGAUUUAUUAGACCUUUCCACUUCGUGGAAGAGAUUAUGCUAAUAUGAGUAAUGAGAAAACUUUCUCCUCGCACCCGUGUAAUUAAGAACGGAAAAUCCUCCUAAAAUUAAACGGUCCCAACCAAAGAGGGAACAAAAUAACAAAAAGAAAACAAGUAGAUUAUUUUAACUUAACCGUUAACCCUACACCGGUGUGCAUAAAAGGAAAGAUAAAAAGAACAAGAAGGAAUUCAGCAAACACACUAAAGCCUCGCCUGUUUACCAAAAACAUCGCUUCUUGAUUUUUAAAAAUAAGAAGUCCCGCCUGCCCUGUGACAAAGUUUAACGGCCGCGGUAUUCUGACCGUGCAAAGGUAGCGCAAUCAAUUGUCUUUUAAAUAGAGACCUGUAUGAACGGCAUAACGAGGGCUUAACUGUCUCCUUUUUCCUAUCAAUGAAAUUGAUCUCCCCGUGCAGAAGCGGGGCUAAAAACAUAAGACGAGAAGACCCUGUGGAUCUUUAGCCACUAAGUAGAACAUAUCUCAAUCGCUUAGCAUAAUAAGCGAAAUCUCUUGUAAUCUAUUCAAGUGUCUUUGGUUGGGGCGACCCCGGAGUAAAAUAAAACCUCCUUGAGGAAUGAGGGCACUUCCUCCAAUCUUAGAGCAACAACUCUAAGAAAUAGAAAUUCUAACCGUAUGAUCCGGUAAGACCGAUCAACGAACUGAGUUACCCCAGGGAUAACAGCGCAAUCCUCUUCUAGAGCCCCUAUCGACAAGAGGGUUUACGACCUCGAUGUUGGAUCAGGACAUCCUAAUGGUGCAGUAGCUAUUAAGGGUUCGUUUGUUCAACGAUUAAAGUCCUACGUGAUCUGAGUUCAGACCGGAGUAAUCCAGGUCAGUUUCUAUCUAUGAAAUAUUUUAUUCCAGUACGAAAGGACCGAGUAAAAAAGGCCCAUGACCAUCUAAGCCUUCUUCUUAACUAAUGAAAACAAAUAAAAUAAGUAAAAGAAAAUACUUACCCAGGAAAAGAUAAUUCCAU
rnacentral:rRNA from 1 species